UAGCGUAUAUUAAAGUUGUUGCAGUUAAAAAGCUCGUAGUUGGACUUCUGACGUGGGACUGCGCCCCGUUCCUUUUGGGACGUUGGGUGCGGACUUGUGUCUUCCUCUCGUAGUUGGUUGGUGCACUUAACUGGGUGCCUUCUGAAUAUGGGACCUUUACUUUGAAAAAAUUAGAGUGUUCAAAGCAGGCAUUGGCUUGAAUACACUAGCGUGGAAUAAUAGAAUAGGACUUUGGUUCUAUUUUGUUGGUUUCUAGGACCGAAGUAAUGAUUAAUAGGGACAGUUGGGGGCAUUAGUAUUUAAUUGUCAAAGGUGAAAUUCUUGGAUUUAUGAAAGACUAACUACUGCGAAAGCAUUUGCCAAGGAUGUUUUCAUUAAUCAAGAACGAAAGUUAGGGGAUCGAAGACGAUCAGAUACCGUCGUAGUCUUAACCAUAAACUAUGCCGACUCGGGAUCGGUGGGGUGAAUAUAACCUUAUCGGCACCGUAUGAGAAAUCAAAGUUUUUGGGUUCUGGGGGGAGUAUGGUCGCAAGGCUGAAACUUAAAGGAAUUGACGGAAGGGCACCACCAGGAGUGGAGCCUGCGGCUUAAUUUGAUUCAACACGGGGAAACUCACCAGGUCCAGGCAUGGUAAGGAUUGACAGAUUGAGAGCUCUUUCUUGAUUCUAUGGGUGGUGGUGCA
rnacentral:rRNA from 1 species